rnacentral:lncRNA from 1 species
GUCGACCCUGCACCUGGUCUUCUGUCUGAGAGGUGGUGUGCAGAUCUUCGUGAAGACCCUCACUGGCAAGACUGUCACCCUGGAGGUAGACAGUGACAUCAUUGAAAAUGUGAAACCAAGAUCCAGGAUAAAGAAGACAUCCUCCAGACCAGCAGAGGCUCAUCUUCACAGGCAAGCAGCUGGAAGAUGUCCACACUCUUUCUGACUAUAAAAUCCAGAAAGUGUCGACCCUGCACCUGGUCCUGCAUCUGAGGGGUGGCUGUUAA